rnacentral:lncRNA from 1 species
GUAAACAGGGAUAGAUGACUGUUGAAAAGGUAGUUCAGUAGAUAAAAUGGAUGAAUAGUUAGGAAAAGCAGUUUUCAUUAGAGAUGUAGCAGUUGGUAUCUCGUUGUAGCAUAAGAAGGAUGGGAGAGAGGAAGUAGGAGUCAGACUGUGAUAGUGUGAGCCGGGGUAAGCUUGGUGCUACCUCUUUUCUUUUAUUUGUUAUUUUCUUUGAAUAAGAAGAUUAAGAGUUUUUGAAUAUUGUGAAAGUGAAUUAUGGAAUGGAAGUAUGAUUGUUAUUAAAUGGGAAGAAGAAAUAUUGAAUGCUGAAAUCUGAUUGUAGUUCAGCAGAGAGAAUGAGUGUAUUUGUGUGAAACACUGUAAUGUGAAGGUAGUUAAUGGUGAAGAAUUCCAGAGUUUGGAUUAUAGUAUGAUUAUGUCCUGUCAUUUAGGAUAGUACGGGAUUACUUGUUGUUGUUAUCAGUGAUGGUGGAGUAUUAUUAGGAAGUGGAAAGCA